GCCCAAUGAUACUACUCUGGCAAAAGGCGCAGGAGGUUGCAGCCAGGCUAACAGAAACCCAGCCCUGCCCACUGGGUGAAACUGCAAGUCGAGAGCGUGGGAAACCAGCAAGUUGAGAGAGGAUCCAGAAGUAACCCCUUCUAAAACGGGAAAGAUGCCUUCCGAAAGCACUUGGCCCUAAAGAGAAAACACUAGGAGGAUGGGAACCAGGGACAGAGAAGCUACUUGCUCUGCAGCUGUUUGGGCCAGUAUGUUCCCUAAUCUUGAUGGCCAUCCUGGGCUUAUUUUCCUGAGAGUCUCUAAGUGACUCACUGCAUCACGUAAAACUAAGAAAAAGGAUGUCCUGAAUUUUCCUGCUUAGAGAGCUUGUUUUUCUUUCCUGUUGCAUCAAAGGGGUCUGUUAAACUUUCUAAAAGUACUAAUCUGACCUGAUAUCUGAAGUAACAGAUAGGAAUUUGGGCUCUUUAAAUGGAGCCCUUCCCCCAUACCUGCAUCUCAUUGAAGAGGCUGAACUUCAAAACAAAAUCAUGUUGGAGAAUUAAGUCUCGUUCCCAGAUUUAAUUUCUUAUUUUUAUAUUGUUGCAUAAGAAAUCUACUCUAUAAGGCAUCUAUUUUCAAAUUUGGAAAAUCUUAUUUUAAGUUCAUUUAUUUAAAGACCAACAAACAAAAACACCAAAUUCACUAGCCCAGGUCUUUAUGGACCACCAUCUCCCCUCCCCGCCUCCAUUUCUCCCUGGAGUAGUGAUUGUGGGGCCACUGCAUGAAUUUUACUCUAUUAUUUAUCUAAUGAGCAAAGCCAAGGCUGGCAAUGCUGAGAAUGCAUGAGGGAAAAAAAGAUAUCACAAUGACAGCACACUCUGCAGCGUUCCAUCCAAAAGCAAGUAAGUGACUCACUGUUCUGUAAAGCACAGGGCAGAUUCUUAUACGGAAAAACUACCCUCAGAAGUGCAUGUGAGACCCUAGUCUGUGUAAAGGAAUUUACUCUGGGUUUUCUUCACAUUGGCACUCAGGUAUGCGGGUGUGGGUUCACAGACAUUCCUUUCUGACUCAUUACCCACUUUGCCCCUGCUCCCCGCCCCCUUAGUGCUUGAGGCACUUUUUCCAGCCUCCCCUGGGCUGGGGCAGAGAUUGAUGGUAUCUUGGCACUCUCCAAAGAGAAGCUGUGCCCCUUUGCACUUUCUUUUUGUGACUAGUCCUUAAGACUUGCUGCCAAGCUUGGUUAAAUGGACAUGGCACAGCUGCCACUGAGCUGAAAGCUCUUACCUACGAGGGGUUGUGGUACAUGUAGACUCUUCUGUUAGUCUGCCACUCAACACGUAUUUAUCCACCAGACAGACAGUGAGAUAGUGAAGGGGACCAGAAUCUGCCACCCCAAAAUAUACCACUUUGGCAUAAGGAUUGUUUUGAUUUGAAAGCAAUUAGCUCUCUGCCUUCCCCUUUUCUGUCUAAAAGUAGGACAUAAAUUUCCUUUUGAAAAUUUACAAAUUUCCAUUUGUAAAGGUGUCUCCCUCUCCUGUACCAGCAAGAAAACUACUCUGGAGGCAACUCUUAGCACCCAGGAUGUCUCUUAUCCACAUAACAAACCUUACUAAAUGACCCUUAUUUCCUGUACAUUUCCUAUUCACCUUCCUAUAAUUUAUCUCCUCCCCAGAAGCCCCAGAUCACUUUGCUUUUGUCUAGCCUAAGAUAGUAUAUAACCCCAAAUUCUAACUGCUUCCUUGAGUCACAUUUCUUUGUGAACUCCUGUGCGUAUGCACAUACUUAAAUCUGUUUUUUUUCUGUUAAUCUGCCUUUUAUCAGUUUUAUUUGCAAGCUUCAGCAACUGAAGUUGAAACUGCCUUUGCAAAAAUUAUAACAGUCAGAAAAUUAUGACAGUGAAAGAGGUCUGAUCCAACCAACUCUAUCUUGCCUUUAACCUCCAAAUUGCCCUUGAUCAAGGCAUGGGCCAAGCUAACUUUGGGAGAAAUUUAUAAUUUAAAUGAUAAUAGCCCUCCCCAAAACUAAACUGUCUUUGUAAAACUAAUGAAAGGCCACCAGGUUGGGAGGAUGAUUGGGGCCUGAAUUCCACUAAGAUGUAGGCAUAAAUGAUUACCGGCCAUUAUUCUGGAGGCCACAAGGUUUGCAACUUCCGCAAUUACUCCUGUAAAUAACAUCACUAUUGUAGAACCUAACAUUGGCCUUUUGAGAUGUCUUUUCAGAUUUUUGCAUUUCAGAUGAUCCAAUGGCCCCAUCUAGACUGGAGACACCAACUCAUGACUCAGCUGGCCUUGUGGCCCACACCCAGAAGUGGACUCAGUGCAUGAGGACUAUUUUCCACACUCCUAUGAUAGCAUCCCCAACCAAUCAGCAGGACCAUUUCCUAGCCCCUUGCCCACCAAACUAUCUUUUAAAAAACCUGGCUGGGCGCAGUGGCUCACACCUGCAAUCCCAGCACUUUGGGAGUCUGAGGUGGGUGGAUCACGAGGUCAGGAGUUCAAGACCAGCCUGGCUAAGAUGGUGAAACCCUGUCUCUACUAAAAAUACAAAAAAAAUUAGCCGGGCAUGGUGGCAGGCACCUGUAAUCCCAGCUACUUGGGAGGUUGAGGCAGAGAAUUGCUUGAACCCAGAGGCGGAGGUUACAGUGAGCCGAGAUCACUCCACUGCACUCCAGCCUGGAUAACAGAGCAAGACUCUGUCUCAAGGAAAAAAAAAAACAACCUAGCCUCCACAUUUUCAGAGAGGCUCGUUUGAGUAAUAAUAAAACUCUGGUCUCCCAUUUAGCUGGCUCUUCUUGUAUUAAACUCUUUUUCUAUUGCAAUAACCCUGUCUUGAUAAAUUAGCUUCAUCUGGGAAGCAGGCAAGAAGAACUUAUUGGAUGGUUAUAUAGUGGGCUUCUAGCAUGGCCUAGAGAUGCAGAGGCCAUGGCAGAUAAAGCCAACUUCCUCCAACUGAGUAGAGGACUCAGGGGCCCAGAGGAGUCAGAAGGGGAGAUGGGAGCCAAGGAUGAGGAAGAACUCCUGGAAAGGCCUGAGAAAGAAGGACCCUAAGUUUAGCAUCUUAGGUCCCGAAAAAUGGCUGAAGGAGAGGAAAAGAUGGAGAGAAAGAGUAUUGUGACAUGAACCUGCCCCUGUGCCUCGAGUUCCUGGGAGUUUCUUGUUAGCUUCUGUGUCCUGUUUUUCUGUAUCCUCUGCAAAGGAAAGAUGAAAUCUGUUGCCACAUAGGCGAUGGGGUUCAGGACACACUACUCCAAAAGAUGGCAUCUUGUCAUAUUGAAGAAAAUAGCAGAAACUGGACCAUUGGUCUUACCUUUCCCCAUACUUCUCCCCUGAAGUGGAUUAUAAAACCUAGGAAGGACUCUCUGACUGAGACGGUUUGGCUGUGUCUCCACCCAAAUCUCAUCUUGAAUUGUAACUCCCACAAUUCCCACAUGUCAUGGGAGGAACCCAGUGGGAGGUGAUUGAAUUAUGGGGGCGAGUCUUUCCUGCACUGUUCUUGUGAUAGUGAAUGAGUCUCAUGAGAUCUGAUGGUUUGAUAAGGGGAAGCCCGUUUUGCUUGGCUCUCAUUCUCUCUCUUUGCCUGCCACCAUCCACGUAGGAUGUGACUUGCUCCUCCUUGUUUUCCAACAUGAUUGUGAGGCCUCCCCAGCCACGUGGAACUGUAAGUCCAUUAAACCUCUUUCUUUUAUAAAUUGCCCAGUCCAGGUAUGCCUUUAUCAGCAGCAUGAAAACCAACUAAUACACUGACCUUCCCCUAAAGUAGGUUAUAUGACCCUCAUCUGACAGAUGCCCUCCUUAGACCUACAGGGAAGGAAAAAGCAUCCUUAUCUCUGAAAAUGGAGGAACACAGAGAAAAAUUCAAACAAACAGGCCUCGUUAAGUCCCUGCCCCAUUUAUUACCAUUAGAUAAUAUUCUUUGUCCUAUCAUAUUUCUCCAUGACUGUUCAUUCUUCAUCAAACCUAGAAUAAAAACACUCAAAUGUACCUGUUUCUUUGGUCUUCAUUUCCUUAUGAAGGCUCUCAUGUCACGUAAAACUUAUUUGAAAUAAACCUGUAUGGUUUUCUGAUUAAGCUGCUUUUUGUUACAGGCCAUAAACCUAGGAUAGGUAGAGAAAAGGAUAUUUUUCCUCCCCUACAUUGAUCCAGAUGCAAUCACCACCAUUAGCAGUGCUUGCUUGACUUUGACUGCUCAAGAAAAGUUAGUGGAUUUGCACCCACUCACCCACUCCCAUCCCCAUUUCUAUGAAACACAUGAUUUAGCAUUGUGCUAGAAGAGCAGAGAUUUGAGCUCUUCUUAGAGGCCGCUCUAGCAUGCUGCUUCUUCUGAGAGAUAGCAAGUAAGACCCUCAUGGCCAUGCAUCCAAGGUUUGCUGCCUUGAGGGCCACUGCUUUUUACCUUUACAUUGCUGCCUUACUAAGUCCCAGCAGUCCAGGAAAAUUUCCUGGAUUCAGACGUUCCGAUUAUUCUGAAAAUUUAUUUUUCCUGCCCUCCACUCACAGAACUGCUUAGACAGAGUGACUAUAUACCAUUGACUGUAAAUUCAUGAUCAAUUAAAGAAAAUAACUUCUCUAAUCCAAGUCCAAAGGCUGAUAACAGAGGCCCAGGGACUCCUGAGCUAUCAGAGGGAGGCACUAGGCUAGUCUCCCAGUGAAAUCAAGCAAAGAGAGAAAUCAUUAGAGGAGCCAUGUUUAUUGUUUGAAUUUUAUGAAUACAUAGAAUUCUAUGAAUCAAAAAAGGGAAGUUCACAUUGGUUCUGUGCAGCAUGUGAUAAACCACAGCAUUGCUAUCUACAUUUUUUUUCUUUCUUUAUGAUCAGUAGCCUCUCAAUAAAGUGGAUAUUUUGAGUGUUGCAGUACCAGAUACAGACAUAGGUUGUAAAGAAGAAGAGUUUUUCCACUUGUUAAAGAGAUAGGAGUAAAGCAGCAAAAGUCUGGAACAUUUCUGGGGGUAUAUUGCUUAUCAGAGUGUUCAGUUAUUCUAAGGCCAACUUCAUUUUCUAUGGUUUUUCUUAAGAAAACAUUUGUGAAAAUAUCCAAUUAUGAGUACAAACUACCUCCCAUGAAUUAUCUGUGAUGUCUAUACUGAUUCCCCAUGGAUGUUUAUAUAGCCAGAUGUUUGAAAUCUUGGGCACCAUCUCCUCUGACAUAAACAAUUUUCUGUGAAACCUUCCAUGUUAACCAGUGGUACCUGAUUCUCAAAUCUGAUGUAAAUCUAGCAUAUACUCUUCUCCCACACAAUGUCUUUGACUGUAACUGUUUUGCUAUUAUACUGAAAGUACACACUCUUUUCUCCUAACCAUGGGCCCCAAUUCCCACAAGAUGAGGACAAACUACAGAGUAGCAGAGGGAAAAGACCAUUGCUUUUCCUCUUUGAAGACUUUCUAUGAAAUUUCAUCUUUCUGCUCUGCGGAUGGCGUUUUAUGUUGGGAAAAUAGUAGAACUCAUAAUUUGGUCUCCUGGACUUAAUUUCUAAUUACUUCAUAUUGGUGACUUUUUUUUAACCUCAAAGAGGAAAACGGCAAGCCCUAAAUGCCUGUUUUUCUCCUUUUUUGGCCCAAGUGGGUAACUGAGGCUCAGUUUACAUACAUCAAAUUACCAAAAUGCUGUCUUGUAUAUAGUUUUGAAAGAUAGAGAUGGGUUUGUAAUGUUUUUCAGACCUGAUUCAGAGCUCAAUUUAGUUUUUCUUUUGGUAUUCAGGCUAUUAUAUUCGUCAUAAAAACAGGCACUGUGUGUGCCUUAGUAAAUAAUUUAUAACUUUCCCCAUAACUCAGGGGAACCCACCAUAGUCUGACUGUCUGCCUUUUACCUUCUCAUCUCUAUACCUCCAGGUCUCUAGUGAUCAUAAAAGUGAUCGAAGCCCUGAUCUGAUUUUUAUCACAAAGCCAUUCUUCUUUGUGGGUACUUUGGUUCUGGAGACAGAGAAUCAUGAGAUCAGAUAAAGCCAUGUGGAGGGCUGAAAGUUGGCUGGAAUGGCGCUUGGGGCCCAGUUUAUGCUGUUGGAGCAUUUCCUGUGUGCCCUUUGAAACCUCUGAACUCAGCUCUUCAAAGUGAGAGCUUUGUCUUUCCGCUGAACACAUAUAUUUGCUACUUAUUAUCUUUCUCUUGCCAUCUCCACCCUUACUUGACUCAGCCAACAUCGAUAUAUCAAAGCAAAAGCAUUGCUCUGACUGAGUCAUAAGUUAUACUUUUACCUGACAUUAUCUGGCUGUGUAGAAAUGAAAGCAUAAAAAUAAUGGAGGUUUUGUGUACAGGUCUACACACACACACACACACACACACACACACACACACACACACACACACACACGUCUUCUUCUUUGCUUCACUUAUCAUGCUCUCACUACUUCCACUGUUUCUCUCCCCAACUCCUGCCCACUCCCACUCAUAGCAGUUUAUUAAAGAAGUAUGUUUUCUCAUGAGCCAAUUGGGUAAUUUUUCAAGUUGAACCCCAUUAACAUUAUAAAUGCCGUUAUAAAUGCUUGUUUUUCAAAAAUUUGUCUUUCCAAAACUUUGUUCUGGGUCAGAAAAUUUAUUUCUCUUUAGAGAGCCAGUGUUGCAUGAGGAAAUUGAAGCUGAUCUCUGGGUGUGUGUUUGUGCUAAUUUGCUGUACAAUCAAAUACAGAUAUAGGUUAAUAAAUGCUGUUCUUUGAUCUGUUGCUACAAAGGAUUCAUUGUAAAUACAUUACUAGAUAAGUAAGUUAGAACUUUGUAACUGUCUCUUGCAAACGGUGCCCCAUGCCACCCAUUAGCAUGUGCAAGAAGUGAUACAUUUGGCUUCAGCCUGCCUGGGUUUUACUUUGCUGAUUUGUUUAUUUUUAAAAUAGUUACCCAUAGUAUACUUCCAUUUGGGGUGUCCUCAUAGAAGGAUAGCACUCAGGCAGAGAAAUAGCCCAAAAAAACAAUAACAGCACCAAAAACUUGGUAGCAAGAAUUUAAUAAAACCAAGGGAGGCCAAUGUUUCUAUAGGUAACCAUUUAACAUUUGUCAUUAUGUGUCUAGCUCUAGCCAAGGCAUUGCAAAGAAUGCAAAAAGACAUGAUCAAAGGCCUCAAGAUGUUUACAGUCCUGUUAGGGGAUGAAGGUAUUGGAGUGAAUCACAUUCACUAAAAUGGGAAUAAAGACUUCUACCUUAAAAUCAUGGUGUUUUUCAGGGAAUCAGAACUAAUAUGAUAUGACUGGAGUUAAUAUGUUAUUGUGGGGGAUGGGGAGGAGUAGACUAUUGGUAGUUGUGGCUACAAAUUUGGCAGGAUUCAAAUAUUGAAAGGGAUUUGUAUGUCAAGCUAAAGAAUUAUAAUUUUUCUCUAUAGACAAUGGGGGAAUUAACCACCGAAGAAUUUUGAGUUGGUGAAUGACAUAAAAAGAUUUGUAUUUUAGAAAAAUAACUGGCAUGUUGCGGGGUGUGAAAUGAAGUAAAAGAAGUCUUCAGUUGUGAAGUUACAUGUCCAUUGAGUCUAGCAGAUACCAAACAAUCACAUCAAAAUCCUGAAAUAAUAAUAAAUAAAGAAUUCUACCUUGUCUGUCUCAGUGAUUGUACGUGGAGGUAUGUUUCUUUUUACUCAUAAGUGUACAGUCUGUGUAAUUAAGUGGCAAAGCCAUUUGAAAAGGUCACUGUUUAAAUCACAGGACUUAUCUAGGUGUGACAACCCACGGUGAUGAGAGAUUUAGAGCCAGUCUCUACUGAGUGCUGAUGUGGGGCUGAUGUGGACUCUAGGAGGCUUUGUGGGAGAACAGGGUAAAGGCUUUGGUUCUGGAGAGAAAGUGAUAUGCCCUCAACUAUGUAUUUCAGGUUUCCAUGGUCAGCAUCUAGGCCUUCCUGCUAUUAUCUGCCUUGUGAGACUGGAGGACAAACUGGAAGCCAAGAGAUACAAUCCCAAAGUUGCUUGAGUGUCAGACAAAUAAAAGAAAAACAUUUUCCUUCCUUCCUUCCUUCCUUCCUUCCUUCCUUCCUUCCUUCCUUCCUUCCUUCCUUCCUUCCUUCCUCUCUCCCUCCCUCCCUCGCUCCCUUCCUCCUUUGCUCCCUCCCUCUCUCCCUCAGUCCUUUCCUUCCUCCAUCCCUUCCUUCUGUUGUGGAAGAAAAAACGUUUCCUUUAUCGUCUUAGGUUCAAUACCUGGGACUUGCAAAUUAAACUGACAAAAGACAAAUUAGCGGGAGAAAAGGGAGAAGACCACAGAAGCUCUGCAUUUGGAACUUUUCCUGGAUUCUGUCCCAUUUGCUUCUUCCCAUGACCGAUUUUGAUCUACCACCCUGGCCCAUCAUGCCCCCAUCCUGUACCUAUAAAAACUCUGAGACCCUCGCAGGCAGAGACACAAGCCGCUGGACGUCGAGAGGAACACAUUGGUGGAGGAACUCACAGGUGGCUGGAUGUCAAGAGGAACACACUGGCGGAAGAGCACACUGACAAGCACCAGCAGACAACGGCACGCUGGGGCACGCCGGCAGGCCAUCAACCUGCAGAACGAUGUGGAGUUUGGCCUGGGCAGUCGGAGGAGAGUCCAGCUGCUGAGCAGUCCGACUCCAGGAAAAAAACACCUUCCCAUUCCAUCUCCCUUCUGGCUCUCCCAUCUUCUGAGAGCUACUUCCAUUCAAUAAAACCUUGCACUCAUUCUCCAAGCCCAAGUGUGAUCUGAUUCUUCCGGUACACCAAGGCAAGAAACCCUGGGAUACCGAAAGCCCUCUGUCGUUGCGAUAAGGCAGGGGGUCUAAUUGAGCUGUGUAACACAAGUUGCCUACAGACGGCUAAACUGAAAGAGC
rnacentral:lncRNA from 10 species